GCAUUUAAGCCACCUGUCAAGAUCGUUUCUAGGAACAUGGCCACAUCCCAAACUGGCUCCCCAGCAGCUCCAGGCUGGACUGUGGAAGCAGAAACCCUCCUGGCAGGCAAGCAGACACCACAACCGCCUAAGCCGAUCGAAUGCCUGCUGCACUGCUGAAGAGGAAACAGAGUCGUGGCCUCCGGGAGGGGGCUCAAACCUGUGACUGGUGCAUGUUCGCCAUUAGACACACUGGCUGGUGACCAGCAGCCCCACCUACAGAAUUCCCUGGAAUGAGGAAUGGCAUUCCUGAGACCACUCAGCAGAGACUACCUCAAAAGGCGCUGCUCAAUGCCAGGAAAUGCAGCGAGAGAAAAUCCCCUUCCGGUGCCACCUCUGUGGCCAGCACACAGGUCCCCUGCUCAGCGGGUGUGUGUAGACGUGCCCUCAGGAAGCUCAGCCCAAGGCCCUCUGGAAGUGGCCACAGCUGGACCACACGGAACUCAUCCACUGCUUCUUUGGAGCUCCAGGAAAGCGCCAGAAGAGGGGCACUGAGGCAGAGGGAAAGCUAAGCAGCCUGUGGCUCAGGGGACUACCUUGCAACUGCUUGAAUGUAAAGCAGGCAGAGAAAUCCUCCUGGGAACCUGAGGCCAGGUGUAUGAGUGGGAUUUAAGAGAGGCCAGCGCCCCUUCCGGGGUGGCCCCAGCCCAGGAGGAGGGCGUGAGAGGCACACCUGGGAAGUGUCAGAGCCUGACAGGCGUGAGCUGGAGGCCUGGCAGGAGAGUGCUCUCACCACCUGACCAUCCUGGAAAGCUGUCAAAGUCCCAGUGCCCAUGCCACACCCCACAACAAUCCAAUCAAACUCUUUGGAGGUAGGACCCAGGCGUCUCUGAUUUUUAAAAUUUCCAGGUAAUUAAAAUAUUCAGCCAUGCUUGAGAACCAGUGCUUUAAAGAGAUAUCUGAUGCAUCCCAGGCUCAUCAAACAAAACAAGUAGGGCUCUUCCUGAGUGAUUCAUCAAGCUACCUUCUCUCUAGAGGCCCUCUUCACUACUCUAGUCUCUCCAAAUCCCUGCCAUUCCUCCACAUCCAUCUCCAUUGCCACCUCCUGAUGGGAGCCCUCCAUGGCUGCCCCAGCUGCAGUGAGUGCCUUUCUUCAAGGGCCCCUGUCACUGAGGACCUGCAUAGCCAUACAUAGCCAUCAGCUGACAGGUGUUUGCCCGUCCAUUUGAGCAAUCCAUUCCUGUGGGGGCAGGUACUAUGUUGUCCAUCAUGCUUUCUCACAACCUGCUGACCUACCACCUACCACAAUUCACUGCCCACAUUAUAUGCUCAAUUAGUGUUUUCUGGCUGACUUACAUCCUAGUGCAUUUCAACAUUUCAAGCAAUCUUGGUAAGAGAGUUGAAAGAAUGUCUGAUUCAAAUUAGUGGUUUUGUUGGUGAUCAGUGAUUGUGGUGAUAGAGAUGUAUAUGAUAGGAAUGGUAUAGGAAGAAUGGCCAAGAAAUGCCUCUCAGGCUGUCUCCCAAGAUGGUAUGUAUAACCCAUAUAGCCCAAUCCUCAGGUGGUCCAGUCCCUGCACUGAACAUCUUCAAAGAUGUGGUAGUUCCACAGGGCAGUAGGCAAUGACAGGUAUUUUCUAAUUAAAAGCACUUCAAAUAUUUACUACAGUCUCUUGAGGAAACUUAAAUGUGGCAAACCAAACACAUGCAUUUAUAUCUACUGAGGAGCCUUGAGGGGUGAGGAGAAACAAAAAUGUAUUCCAGCCAGUGAGACCAGCAGUGAUGGGGACAGAGGGACACAAAGCCCUCCCCGGUUCUCAGAAUGGCAAGAGGUCUUGUGAGUGUGGAGUGUAGGGAGGAAUGGUUAAAAGAGACUGAGAAGGAGCCAGUAUACAAAUGGGCUUGAGUCAUGAGCCAAGGGGGUAGAUUCCAGGUUUUACCAUCCAAAGCCUACAACUAACAAGUGGUGUGAUCAGAUCACUCUGGCAACAUGCAGAGGGCAGGACACCGUCAGGCCACUAGAGCAGCGGUGGGGAGAAAGGGCCAGGCAGAAAAGGGCUGGGAGAUGUGGCCCAGCCACUAUCAGGUCCACCUGCGGUUGCCGAAGAAGAUGCUUCUAUGCCCCGUUCCCUGUGUGGUGUGUUCUCAGGCCUGGGGCUGGCAUUGAAGGUGCUCCUACACACCUUACCCAAGACUUGCUUCCACCCAGUGCUAACUGGCCACUCCAUGCCACUGCUCCAGGCUCUGAGCGGAGGUCAGAUAGCCCCCCAGUUGCUGGGAGGGCCAACCUCAGCUGCCUUCACACACAGCCCAACAUUUUCACCUUAUGUACAAGCCAAAGGAUAUGUAUAGUCACCACCAGAUAGAAAACAAGCAAAUCUUUAGGCUCAGACAAUAUGAAAUAUAUAUCAGCGACUUAAAAAAAUGUAUGCCAAUUUUUACCAAAAGAAUUUCAGAGUCUGGGCUGCUUGGGUUUUCCAGGAAGCUGAUGUUGAGAUAGGGUUAGGAAUGCAAGGUUAAAGAGGGUGAGGGUAACGCCUGGGAAUGAAAUGGGGCAAAAGUAAGAGUGGAGUUCUCAGACCUGCAGGCCUGACUUUCUGCCAGUCAUCCAGUGAACUAAAACAAAAACAGCCCAUUAGAGGACUCCUGUGUUGGAAAUGUGGAAACGAUGGAAUGGCUGGGCCCUCAUACCACCAUCUUGCUCAGUCAUUGGACAGGGACACCCAAAGAAAAUCAUAAACUUGGUCCAAAAGCUGAGUAGACCCUGUAGGAGCCAACAGUGGUAGGCUGCCAGCUGAGCACAGCCUUGAAGCAGGGCAGUUUUUUUUUGUUUGUUUGUUU
rnacentral:lncRNA from 10 species